GAUGAACGCUGGCGGCGUGCCUAAUACAUGCAAGUCGAGCGAACAGACGAGGAGCUUGCUCCUCUGACGUUAGCGGCGGACGGGUGAGUAACACGUGGAUAACCUACCUAUAAGACUGGGAUAACUUCGGGAAACCGGAGCUAAUACCGGAUAAUAUAUUGAACCGCAUGGUUCAAUAGUGAAGGACGGUUUUGCUGUCACUUAUAGAUGGAUCCGCGCCGCAUUAGCUAGUUGGUAAGGUAACGGCUUACCAAGGCAACGAUGCGUAGCCGACCUGAGAGGGUGAUCGGCCACACUGGAACUGAGACACGGUCCAGACUCCUACGGGAGGCAGCAGUAGGGAAUCUUCCGCAAUGGGCGAAAGCCCGACGGAGCAACGCCGCGUGAGUGAUGAAGGUCUUCGGAUCGUAAAACUCUGUUAUUAGGGAAGAACAAAUGUGUAAGUAACUAUGCACGUCUUGACGGUACCUAAUCAGAAAGCCACGGCUAACUACGUG
rnacentral:rRNA from 1 species